UACGAAGGGUGCAAGCGUUACUCGGAAUUACUGGGCGUAAAGCGUGCGUAGGUGGUGCGUUAAGUCUGUCGUGAAAGCCCCGGGCUCAACCUGGGAAUGGCGAUGGAUACUGGCGCGCUAGAGUGCGGUAGAGGAGAGUGGAAUUCCCGGUGUAGCAGUGAAAUGCGUAGAGAUCGGGAGGAACAUCAGUUGCGAAGGCGGCUCUCUGGACCAGCACUGACACUGAGGCACGAAAGCGUGGGGAGCAAACAGG
rnacentral:rRNA from 2 species